UCGGGAAUUUUGGGCAAUGGGGGAAACCCUGACCCAGCAACGCCGCGUGAAGGAUGAAGUAUUUCGGUAUGUAAACUUCGAAAGAAUAGGAAGAAUAAAUGACGGUACUAUUUAUAAGGUCCGGCUAACUACGUGCCAGCAGCCGCGGUAAUACGUAGGGACCAAGCGUUGUUCGGAUUUACUGGGCGUAAAGGGCGCGUAGGCGGCAAUUCAAGUCAUCUGUGAAAUCUCCGGGCUUAACUCGGAACGGUCAGAUGAUACUGCUUUGCUAGAGUGCAGAAGGGGCAAUCGGAAUUCUUGGUGUAGCGGUGAAAUGCGUAGAUAUCAAGAGGAACACCUGAGGUGAAGACGGGUUGCUGGGCUGACACUGACGCUGAGGCGCGAAAGCCAGGGGAGCAAACGGGAUUAGAUACCCUCGUAGUCCCUGAGCGGGCUGGCAAGGCGCAU
rnacentral:rRNA from 1 species